rnacentral:rRNA from 1 species
ACAGAGACCUCAAACGUUGUCCGGAGUUACUGGGCGUAAAGGGCGUGCAGGCGGUUGGCUAAGUUCGUUGUGAAAGCGCCCAGGCUUAACCGGGCGAGGACAAUGAAGACUGGUCAGCUAGAGGACGGUAGAGGGGUGUGGAAUUCCGCGUGUAGCAGUGAAAUGCGUAGAGAUGCAGAGGAACACCGAUGGCGAAGGCAGCCUCCUGGGAUGACACUGACGCUCAUGCACGAAAGCGUGGGGAGCAAACAG